UCCCAGUUUGGACUUAAAGCAUGGGUAUAGUACUACUGUCUUUUUAAUAGGUUCCAAUGUGAGUCUAGAAAUUGGAGAGGACAAAUAAAUUUUUGGGGCGGGGGGGAGAGGAAAUCUUGCUGUCACCCAGGCUAGAGUACAGUGGCACGAUCUUGGCUCACUGGAACCUCUCCGGGAUUCAAGCGAUCCUCCUGUCUCAGCCUCCCCAGUAGCUGGGGCCACAGACGUGCACCACCAAGUCCAGUUGCGUUUCAUAGUUAUAGUAGAGAAGGGGUUUCGUGAUGUUGGCCAGGCCGAUCUUGAACUCCUGGCCUUAACGUGAUCUGCACGCCCUGGCCUCUCAAAGUGCUAGUAUUACACGUGUCAGCCACUGUGCCUGGCCUAAAAAUUAUUUUUUAAUAAAGACAGUCUCAUUAUAACGGCUGGAGUGCAGUGAUGUGAUCAUAGCUUGCUAUAUCCUCGAACUGCUACUGGGUUCACCUCAGCCUCUGGAAUAGCUAGAACUACAGGCACACUCCACGCCUGGCUAAUUUUUUUUGUAUAUGUGCAGAUGGGGUCUCAGUAUGUUGCCCAGAUUGGAC
rnacentral:lncRNA from 10 species